rnacentral:lncRNA from 1 species
GUUAGGACAUUGGACUCUGAAUCCAGUAACCCGAGUUCAAGUCUCGGUGGAACCUUUUUUCUUUAUUUUCCCCUGUUUUUUUGACUCCACCGUGCAUUAUCUCAGGCUCUCAGCACAAGGAGGCCUCCGGACCACGCGCCUAGCUCCCAGUUCAACCUCCAAAUCUCCUCUUCUUCCCCUGGCUCAGAUCUCUCGAUCCCUAUCCAGGGGUAAAGAAGCGAAGCGAAGCACGGGGAGUGGCAGGAGGAGCAGUCGAGACCCCGAAAUGGCGGCCUCCCUCUGGCUGCAGCUCCCUUCCCCUCCUCCACCUCUCCACAGCCCCCUCUUCCUCUCCUCCUCCUUUCCUUCUUCUUCUUCUGCGUCUCCUCUGCCGCUGCAGUACAAGAAGCACGCUCCAGCAAGAGGCAACCUUAUCUGCAGCUCCUCGUCUCCUUCAGUCGUGACCAAACAAGAGGGGGAUUCCCCAGCAAAGGCGCUCCCUGCUUCUGCUGCGCCCGUCAGCUACAAGGAUGACCCCAACUUCAGGUACUGUAUACGAUUCGAUUCUGUUCGGGUGUUUUACUGUGUGUCGAUGUUUAGUUGUUCGCAUGGACUUGUAAGAAUGAAAAUCUACAUUAGAUAAUAAAAAAUACUUAUUUAAAAGAUAAUUCGCAAAUGGUUCCAUGGUCUAGUGGUUAGGACAUUGGACUCUGAAUCCAGUAACCCGAGUUCAAGUCUCGGUGGAACCUUGCAUUCUCCCCCUUUUUGGUAUGUUUCUUAGCUCCCUUUCAAUUGUACCAUUUAUUCGUUCAACUUUCAAAUCUACUCUGAGUUUUAACCAAGAUGAGAAGAGACCUUUUUUUUAGUAAAGAAAGACGAGAAGCUCGAAUUAAGUUUGAGACAGGCUUGUAGUCUGUAGAUUCAUCCCGAAUUCAGUCUGGUCCAUAUUCUGCAUUUUCAAAUAAAAAACGAACAUAAUUGUGUAUUAGCUAAGGUAUGUAUCUCCCUUUUGGCGGUCAAUUAUCUAGUACUCCGAAUACCAUUUUUUUUUCAACUUCCUAAUCUACUUUGUAAUUUUAACCAAGAUGAAAAGAGACCUUUUUACGUGAAGCUCGAAUUCAGUUUGAGACAGGCUCGUCUGUACUCUGUAGAUUCAUCUCUAAUUCAGCAUAUUCUGUAUUUUCAAAUUAAAAACGAAAAUAAUGGUGUGCUUCCAACGGUUC